rnacentral:tRNA from 1 species
CGCGGGGUGGCGCAGCCCGGUAGCUCGUCAGGCUCAUAACCUGAAGGUCACAGGUUCAAAUCCUGUCCCCGCAA